rnacentral:rRNA from 1 species
UGCAAGUCGAACGGAGAGUUAGCAAUAACUCUUAGUGGCGAACGGGUGAGUAACGCGUGGGCAAUCUGCCCUUUAGACGGGGACAACAUUCCGAAAGGGGUGCUAAUACCGGAUGUGAUCAAUACACCGCAUGGUGUGUUGAAGAAAGGUGGCCUCUGAAUAUGCUACCGCUAAAGGAUGAGCCUGCGUCUGAUUAGCUAGUUGGUGGGGUAAUGGCUCACCAAGGCGACGAUCAGUAGCCGGUCUGAGAGGAUGAACGGCCACACUGGGACUGAGACACGGCCUAGACUCCUACGGGAGGCAGCAGUGGGGAAUCUUCCGCAAUGGACGAAAGUCUGACGGAGCAACGCCGCGUGAACGAUGAAGGUCUUCGGAUUGUAAAGUUCUGUUUUUAGGGAAGAAUGUGCUUGGGGUGAACAAUCUCGAGUAAUGACGUUACCUAAAGAGGAAGUCACGGCUAACUACGUGCCAGCAGCCGCGGUAAUACGUAGGUGGCGAGCGUUGUCCGGAAUUAUUGGGCGUAAAGCGCAUGUAGGCGGGAAUAUAAGUCUGUUGUGAAAAUGCGGGGCUCAACCCCGUAUUGCAAUGGAAACUGUAUUUCUUGAGUGCAGGAGAGGAAAGGGGAAUUCCCAGUGUAGCGGUGAAAUGCGUAGAUAUUGGGAGGAACACCAGUGGCGAAGGCGCCUUUCUGGACUGUGUC